UUUUUGUCCCCCCCCCCGUGCGGUUAUACUCUAAGGUUAAGUAAAGGUAAGUCGGUUGAUUGUUAGGUGGACUGUUUGUUAAAUUGAUGUUAUGAAAGCCUAAAAGAAUAAAAAAGUGAAAUUAGAGUAUCUUUGGAGGUCUUUAAUAAGAUUAAUAUAAGCUGAAGCAAAAAAAUAUUGGAGUUAAACUAGGAUUAGAUACCCUAUUAUACCAAGAAGWWAKUAUWWAUACCUGAGUAGUAACAGCUAUGUUCUAAAAAUUUGAAAAAUUUGGCGGUGGUUUAGUCUUGUCAGAGGAACCUGUCUUUUAAACGAUACACCACGAAAUAUCUUACUUGAGUUUGUAUAGUAUGUAUACCAUCAUUAUUAGGUAAUUUUUAUAGAAUAAAUUACUGGAAAGUUUCGAUAAUGUUGAAUAUAUUAGAUCAAGGUGCAGCUGAUACUCAAGUUAAGGUGGGUUACAAUAGUAUUUACGCUAUUACGGAUAAGUAAAUGAAACUUUACUUUGAAGGAGGAUUUGAUUGUAAAUUUAGUUUAAUAAGCUAAUUUGAUAUAAGCUCUAAAGCAUGUACAUAUCGCCCGUCGCUUUMMUUACUAAGAUGAGAUAAGCAUAAAAAGUGGGACUU
rnacentral:rRNA from 1 species